UGCUCGGGUUCUGAUUAGAGUCCUUCUGAAUCAGGGAAGCCAUAGAGUGCAGUUAAGAUACAGGCUUUGAAGUAAGAUAAACAUGGUCUUGCAUCUCAGCUUGACUUCUUUCUGGCUGUGACUUUGGGCAAGACUCUUGGCCAUUAGUCAUCCCGCAGCCACCUUUGAUCAGAGCCUGCUUUUUCCUUCCAGUCAUUGAGGACUGUGGUGGUCUUGACGACUUAUGUGGGCCUAAAUAGAAGAAGGGGGAGCAUUCCUUUUUCUUCUCUUCCAAUAUGGCAGGUUUUACUUAAGAGGUGAUGAUCCAAGACGGUGAUGCCAGAAAUUGGCAGAGUAUAAGGGAGUCUCCACAACAAAGAGAUAUAGCCAAAUGGAUCGUUUAACCCUGAGGCGGCAGUGGCACAUGCUUCCUUGAAGACCGGAUGAAACUCGGGGAAACCAGAAGUAAAACAUCAUAUAAUAAACAGAAAAAUUGUGCAAUCCUCUCGGAUUUUCUUUGAAAAAAACACGUCUAGAGAAGAGUAUGGCAUUUGGAGCCUGAAAGUCUGGGGGUUUGAAUUCUGGCUCUGCUAUUUACUAGCUAUGUGGCUGUGGACAACUUAACCUCCAGAAGCAUCAACUACCUCAUGUGGAAAAUGGAUACAUAAGCGGCACCUUGCAGAGGCGGCGCAGCGAAAGCCCUAGCAUAUACUUGGCACCCAGUGUGAAGCCCCAAUAUGAGAGUUAUCCUGGCUGUGGUCUCAGGGGUAUUGCUUUGAACAUAUAACCAAAGUUGCUGCCUUCUUCAAAACAACUCUAGAGUAAGCCCUUCGGAAUAAGCUAUGUUCACCAUGAGCCAUCUGGGUGGGAGGGUGUAUUUGGUGGGUGUGUGUCUAUGGAUAGGACAGCAACUGUAAAUGCACUUGGGAUGAAUAUAUCUGUUGGAAAUUGGGAUUCAGUAUUGAUUAAUGCUUUGACCUAAAGCCUCUACAAGUAUUUGCUUGUAAUUUACUUCUGUGGGAG
rnacentral:lncRNA from 1 species